AUGUUUUUUCUGGAGUAAACAAGCCAAAUAAAUCAAAAACUUUCAACAACGGAUUUCUUGGCUCUGGCAUCGAUGAAGAACGCAGCGAAAUGCGAUUAAGUAAUGUGAAUUGCAGAAUUCAGUGAAUCAUCGAAUCUUUGAACGCACAUUGCGCCCGCCAGUAUUCUGGCGGGCAUGCCUGUUCGAGCGUCAUUACAACCCUCAGGCCCCCGGGUCUGGCGUUGGGGAUCGGCGGAAGCCCCCUGUGGGCACAACGCCGUCCCCCAAAUACAGUGGCGGUCCCGCCGCAGCUUCCAUUGCGUAGUAGCUAACACCUCGCAACUGGAGAGCGGCGCGGCCACGCCGUAAAACACCCAACUUCUGAAUGUUGACCUCGAAUCAGGUAGGAAUACCCGCUGAACUUAAGCAUAUCAAUAAGCGGAGGA
rnacentral:rRNA from 1 species